AAGAUCAAAAGAAAGGAGGAAAAACAGUAUUACAAUGGGACUUGUCAUAAAAAGUGUGGAGCCUGUGGCCUAGAUUCCUCUGGCCUAAAUUCUGCUUAAGUCCUGGUGCACAAUGCUUGGUCUUGGCUAGCUGCCUCUGAGAGCCUACAACCACUCAGGAGCAAACACUAGUCACCACGACUUAGAAGGAAUUCAGGCUGGAUGAAAUGUCUGACUGUACGGGAAUCAAAUCUUAGGAAAAGGCUGCAGAGAAAGAAAAGGAGCGAGGACCUUUGAGAAAUCUGUGCUGAAGGGCAGCACUGUUGAAAUUGUUGAAAGCAGCUAUUUCUUAAAGAGCACUUUGGUGCCUUCAACUCUACCAAGGUUUAAGUUUCCAGAAGCCAAAGGGAGGGAAUGAGGCUUUUCAGCACCACAGAAGGGAGAAGCAGAAGGGGUCUGUUGGGAAAAUUGGGAAAAGCCCAUUGCAAAAGCUGUCUUUAAGUACCUCAGAGAGAAGCUGGACGCAAGAGGAAGAGAGAGGUGGCACAUAAUGGAGCACGCCGGCAACUAGAGGAACUCCCAGGAGAGACCACAGAUGAAAGCCCAACUUUAUUGGAAUUUGGAUGCGCAGUACCUCUUUGUAUGAAGACAUAAUCCUUUCAAUAGCAUCUGCUCCAGAAAUCAGCAAGUUUCGUGAUGUAGUA